UGGGGGAUAUUGCACAAUGGGCGAAAGCCUGAUGCAGCGACGCCGCGUGGGGGAUGAAGGCUUUCGGGUUGUAAACCUCUUUCGCUAUCGAACAAGGCCCGCUUAGGGUGGGUUGAGGGUAGGUGGAGAAGAAGCGCCGGCUAACUACGUGCCAGCAGCCGCGGUAAUACGUAGGGCGCGAGCGUUGUCCGGAAUUAUUGGGCGUAAAGGGCUUGUAGGCGGCUUGUUGCGCCUGCUGUGAAAACGCGGGGCUUAACUUCGCGCGUGCAGUGGGUACGGGCAGGCUUGGGUGUGGUAGGGGUGACUGGAAUUCCAGGUGUAGCGGUGGAAUGCGCAGAUAUCUGGAGGAACACCGAUGGCGGAGGCAGGUCACUGGGCCAUUACUGACGCUGAGGAGCGAAAGCAUGGGUAGCGAACAGG
rnacentral:rRNA from 1 species